AUACUUACCUGGUGCUUGGUUUGCGGUGAUCACAGAGGCCGCGGCCCCGUGAGGAGGCCUCACCAUUGCACUGCCAUUGGCUGAAGCACGUGACUUCUCCAAGUCGGGGUAGCUGGAGCAUGCAAUUUUUUGUAGUGGAGCUAGGUGAGCGCGCCAUCCGCCA